rnacentral:lncRNA from 1 species
AAAUGUCCCUAACUUUAAACAUUAAUAACUCUUUCGUUACAACUACGUUUCACGAACGGUUUUCACCUACGUGCUCGUGGGAUCGUCCUCUAUCCAAAAAUAUAAAUUGUGACUUCCAAAGGUCUAUGGAUUUUAAAUAAUUAAUUCUCAAACUUCUAACUUCAUAACCAGUUUAAUUUUAAACUAAACUCAAAUGAAUUAAUAUAAUUUCUCCAAAAAUAACAUAAAAUCUCAAUAAUACAAACCCGUAACUUUUAAUAAUUUCUAGAAACAAAACUUUAAAAGUUCUCGAUUAAAUUCUUCAUAACCAUAAAUCGAUUUAUUUUCGAUUUUCUCCACAUUUCAUAAUUAUGAAUAUAUAUAAUCCAUAUAUUUAAAUUUUCAGGGUAUUACAUUCACCCCCCAUUAAAAUCGUGAAGUUACGAGCAAGAACUAGCACUAUUUCCACCAUCUCUACUAUGGUGAAUAAGAUUAUAACCUCUGUCCACGAUUUUAUUCAAAUUAGAAAAAAAAUCAAUGAAGAAUUUAUCGUGAUCGCACUCAUUUUCUCAGUUUUCCAACCACCUUCUUUGAUAAGUAAAAAUACCAUAACUUCUAGCCAUAUACCUUAACAGAAUAAAUAUCGUAAAUUCUAGCUGUAAUUCAUCAGUAGCUAAGUAAAUAUCACAAUAUCAAGCCAAACCACUAAAAUUAACAAAUCAGUUAGCAAAAAUUUCAACCAAAAUCAUUGGAAUUCCAACCAUCAUUACUCGCUACCAUACCAAAAUAAAGAUCCAAAAUUUUCAUUACCUUGAAAUGAAACCAAGGCUUGAAAUUAACAUGCAUCAACCAACCAAAACACGGGUUGAACUUAAGUAUAUGUUCAUCUAUUGCAUUUGAACUUUGGCAUCUGGGAUUUCACAUACAUGGCACACGUUUUGUUAUUAACCAUCUAUGCAAAUAAUACGAAAUAUUUCUCUAACCAAAAUCCAAACAAUGCACAUGUAGGCACAAUCAUAUUGAUUAGAACCACUACUAUUCUUUCCACAUUCAAGUUUAAACCUUCAUUUCCGCAAUGCAUAGUUGAUUAAAAUGUCAAAUGUUAAACCAUGACUAUCAUGACUAACAAAAUAUCAGAUUUUUCUGUCAUAAUUCAUUAAUGGCAAACCAACAAAUCAAAUUUGAAUUUAUAACUUUCUCUUCCCCAAACGUAAAACCCAACCGGGAAAACGUUAAUAUUAACGAACUCGAAAUUUCAUGCCACACUUUCAAGUUCCAAAAAAAAUAAGCAAAUCAACGAAUUAUAAUUGUGAUAAUCACUCACAUUCUCCUAUUCCCAAACACAUUUAUUGGCAGAAUAAAUAAAAAAAUUCUAACCAUACUCAUUGGCAACAAUAAAUAUUAUAAAUUUCCAACCAAAACUUUAUGAUUGGCAAAAUGAACAUAAAAAAAAAAUUUCAACCAAAUUCAUGGAAAAUUUCCAAUCACACUCACUGGUUAAUGGAAAGAAAAUUAAAACUAAAUUCGCAACACCACCAAUAUAAAUUCUCAUUUUAUGGUUCCCUUCAUUUUUCGCAAUUAACUAAAUUGCCCACAAUAAAAGUAAAACCUUUUAAAUCUUCCUUUCGAUUGCUUCACUUUUAACUUUCCUCAAAUGUAGCCACAAAUUUAAUAAAUUAGUGACUCGCACUUCCAGAGCACUACUUACAUUCCAUCAUCCAAGGGAGAGAAAUAUAUAUAUAUAUAUAUAUCACAACUUUAACGGUCAACAAAAUUAAAUUUUAAAUAAUCACAUAGUUACGAGAAUAUAUGCUCGUCAUUAGUUUUUGUUUGCAAUAUCAAAUCUAACAAUGCCAACUCAAGACCAAGGCAACCAAAAUAAUCAAAUUUGUAAAAAAAUUUCCCCAUCAAUUUUUCAUCAAUCAUAAAAAGUUCUCAUAUCACACAACUAGAAAUUCGUUUAUAUUAAACGAAGUAAAAUAUCAUUUCAUAAUUUCAUUCACAUCCACCCUAAAUAAAGGAGAAAAUUCCAUAAUCUUUUCACCAUUCCAAAUAUAAUGAUCAAGCAUAACUACAGUUUAUAAUUUCCUUCCCAUUCGAAAAAUCACCGUAUCUUCCAUAAAAAUUAAAGUUUCCAACCAAAUUAUCGUGGCCAUAAUAUUUUUAAAAUUUGUACCUAUAUCAUUGUCAAACCACUAAUUUCACCACCAUUUUCUUUUAUCUUCAUCAAUGACUAGUAGGUGAUUGGAGCAUAUUUAUGCGAUUGAGUUAGCUUGUUCUCAUGCAUUUAUGUUGUUAUUUCUUAGUUAAUUAUGUAUUUUAAGCUAUUUUCGUUUAUUUGUAGGUCCAUAGGCCUUAUAAAGCAAUAAGAUGCAUUUUGGUGCAUUUUGGAGCAGUUUUGGGCUUGGAAUGGAUAGCACAUGCAUGAAGCAAGGUGGAUGGACGAAAUUGAAGACUAAAGAGGCUAGGAAUGUGUUAAAGAGAAAGAAGAAUUAGUGUAAAAAGGACAAAGAGCUCAGCUACAAAGGGGUGUCACUCCACCAUUCACCUUUCCACAUUGCCGUGCACCACCAUUGCACUCCUUUUGGAUUCCUAUGCCGUGCAUCAUCAUCCAUAUUCCCUCCAUUGACUCAUUUGUUGCAUCAUUCCACUUCCUUUCCUUUGUCUACCAUGUGCAUAAUAUCCUUUCACCUCCUUGCACUCAUUGAUUCACCUAGGGCUAGGUUCAGUUCAAAUCGGUUCCGUUUUUGCCAAAACCAAAACCAAACCGAAAUUUCGGUUCGGUUUGGUUUUUUUUCAGUUCAGUUUUUUUUAGUUUGGUUUUUUUUGGUUCGAUUUUUUCCAUGAAUUUUUUUUUUUAAAUCUAGAUAUUGGCAUGUUAUUUAGCUGCCCUAAAAUCAUUCCAAAAAACAUAAUAACGUUUAGACCUUAAACUUGAUAAAUAUGGUGAUAAAUUAUAUUACUAAAACCUAGCUACUAGAACAAAUGAAUAUCAAAUCAAGCUGUUUUCAUGACUACCUGGAACAAUAGGCUCUUAUUCCGUGUAUGCAAGAAAAACCAUCAUCAUGGAAUGACGUCCAUCCAAGCGGAGAACACUCAUCAACCUGUGAUUUAUAAAUUCUCUCCGAGAAGCUUAUGGCUUUCCUUGCAGUAUCCGUGGGUGGUUGGGUUAUAUAUUGCACAGGAGAUCAAUGAGAUGGGAAAGGAAUAUAUGCCUAUUAUCAUCCUAAUGAUUGUUAUUUGCUGCAGGUUUGCUAUACAUAGAGAAAUACAUAUCCAAUGCAAAAUAAUAUUUGAAAUGUGGCAUGCAUAUAGUACAGUUUACUCUUGUUUUCAUGUUUCAUCUUUUUUUUUUUUUUUUUUUUUUUUUUUAAAUCUGGAUAUGGGUAAAGAAACAAUAUUUUGAGCUUAAAGUUUGGGUUUCGAGUUUCUAAAGGCUUUAUUUUUAAUAUUUUGGAUUUAAAGUUUGGCAACACAUUGGGCUUACAAAUUGGGUUUAGAAAAUAAUACCCAAAAUAGAUAAUUAAAUUAAAAAAAUAAUUAAAAAAAAUUAAUUUAAUUAAUUCGGUUCGGUUCGGUUCGGUUUCUAAACCACUAAAACCGAAACCGAACCAAAAGAAUUCGAUUCGGUUUGGUUUUUGCAAUUCGGUUCGGUUUUUUCGUUCGGUUUGGUUUUUUCGGUUUCGGUUCGGUUAGGUUUUCGGUUUUUUUCGAUUUUUGGUUUUUUGAACCCACCACUAGAUUCACCACUUACUCACCUUUCCACCCAUGCCAUGCAUAAUCACCCUUGUCCCCUUCAUGCACCAGAUUUCUUGCACUCAUUUCAUGCACCAUUACACUCAUUAUCCACCCAUGCCGUGCACCACCCUUGUCUCCUUCAUUAUUUCUGAUUUCAUGCAUCAAAACAUUGAAUCAUUGCACUCAAUUGCUGCACAUUUCUUGUCCCCUUCACCCAUCAGAUUUCAUACAACUUUUACCUCCACUACAUGCACUCAUUGAUGCACCAUCCACCACAUUUGGAAUCCCAUGUUGUGCAUCAUGAGUCUUGCUGCACCUUUGACUACCAUGUGCAUCAUUUCUCUACCAUGUGCACAAUCAUUCAUGUUCCCUAGCUGCAACACCACUCCAUUUUACCCCCCAUGCUUUGCAUCAUCACUUCAUUUUCACCUUUGAAUCAUUUCAAACACCACUCAAUGCACUCAUUGCUACAACACAACUCCAUGUUACCCCCCAUGCUUUGCAUCAUUACUUCAUUUUUACCCUUGAAUCAUUGCAAACACCACCAAAUUCCCUCCAUUGCCAUGCACUUCCUCUAUAAAAGGAAGUGUGUGUGGCAGCCAUAGAGUUUAGUUUUUGCUUGAUCAUUCAUCCCCAUUUCAAUACAACCUUCACCCAAACACAUCCAUUCAUCUUCACAUCCAUUCCUCCAUACAAACAAACCUUCAAACACUCACCAACACCUUGUGCCGUAGCAAAGGAAGGGAAGGAAAGUGCUUGGACGUGCUUGCUGUCCAACUUGGAUCGUUGGAGCGUUUAGGUGUUUUCUUUCUUUCGUUUCUAAUGUUUAAAUUUAUCUCCUUUUGUUUUGUUGUAAAUAUGAGUGGCUAAACCCCUCUUGGCUAAGGGUGAUUUCAAAGCCAUGAUUAUGUGUGCAAUAUAAUUUGAUAAAUUCCAGUUAUGAACUCUUGAAUCGUGAAUGCAAUUGACUUAACUAUUUGAUUGAUAACUUAUUUGUAUUUGUUAAUUAAGGGUCGACACUUAAUUGGCAUGCAUAAAUCCGUUGCUAGAAUAUAAGGAAGUUUCACAUAAUCGUUACAAACUUAUAUUCACAUGUAGUGAAAAUCGCUUAUAAAUGAUCGCGUUAAGUUCAAUUCCUAGCAUGAGUGACAUGAUGUCAUAGUUGCAAGUGCUUUGUCAAUGCUUAUGAUUUUCAUUAAAUGUAAUGAUCUUUGAUUGUAUCUUUAUUAUGAUGUCAUGUAGGGAACUUUAGAAGAAUGUUUUGGGUUGUCGAAUGAUGUCGUCCAAUCCAAUAAAACAAGGAAAAUCUGAGAGUUAACUAGUGAUGUCACGG